rnacentral:rRNA from 1 species
AUUGAACGCUGGCGGCAGGCUUAACACAUGCAAGUCGAGCAACGGGGGGCGGGGGGGGAAUGUUUGGGGAACUGCCUGGAGGAAGGGGAACACUACUGGAAAAGGGAGGUAAUACCGCAUACCCUUAGGUGUGCCCAGAUGGGAUUAGCUAGUAGGUGGGGUAAUGGCUCACCUAGGCGACGGUCCCUAGCUGGUCUGAGAGGAUGACCAGCCACACUGGAACUGAGACACGGUCCAGACUCCUACGGGAGGCAGCAGUGGGGAAUAUUGCACAAUGGGCGCAAGCCUGAUGCAGCCAUGCCGCGUGUGUGAAGAAGGCCUUCGGGUUGUAAAGCACUUUCAGCGAGGAGGCGUUACUCGCAGAAGAAGCACCGGCUAACUCCGUGCCAGCAGCCGCGGUAAUAC